rnacentral:rRNA from 1 species
CCUACGGGAGGCAGCAGUAGGGAAUAUUGCUCAAUGGGGGAAACCCUGAAGCAGCAACGCCGCGUGGAGGAUGAAGGUUUUCGGAUUGUAAACUCCUUUUGUUAGAGAAGAUAAUGACGGUAUCUAACGAAUAAGCACCGGCUAACUCCGUGCCAGCAGCCGCGGUAAUACGGAGGGUGCAAGCGUUACUCGGAAUCACUGGGCGUAAAGAGCGCGUAGGCGGGAUAGCAAGUCAGAUGUGAAAUCCUAUGGCUUAACCAUAGAACUGCAUUUGAAACUGUUAUUCUAGAGUAUGGGAGAGGUAGGUGGAAUUCUUGGUGUAGGGGUAAAAUGCGUAGAGAUCAAGAGGAAUACUCAUUGCGAAGGCGGCUUACUGGACUGUAACUGACGUUGAGGCUCGAAAGCGUGGGGAGCAAACAGGAUUAGAUACCCGAGUAGUC